rnacentral:rRNA from 1 species
GAUGAACGCUGGCGGCGUGCCUAAUACAUGCAAGUCGAGCGAACAGACGAGGAGCUUGCUCCUCUGACGUUAGCGGCGGACGGGUGAGUAACACGUGGAUAACCUACCUAUAAGACUGGGAUAACUUCGGGAAACCGGAGCUAAUACCGGAUAAUAUAUUGAACCGCAUGGUUCAAUAGUGAAAGACGGUUUUGCUGUCACUUAUAGAUGGAUCCGCGCCGCAUUAGCUAGUUGGUAAGGUAACGGCUUACCAAGGCAACGAUGCGUAGCCGACCUGAGAGGGUGAGAGGCCACACUGGAAUUGAGACACGGUACAGAGUCAUACGGGAGGCAGCAGGAGGGAAUCUUCCGCAAUGGGCGAAAGCCUGACGGAGCAAAGCCGCGUGAGUGAUGAAGGUCUUCGGAUCGUAAAACUCUGUUAUUAGGGAAGAACAAACGUGUAAGUAACUAUGCACGUCUUGACGGUACCUAAUCAGAAAGACACGGCUCAUUAAGUG